GAUGUGUGUUAAAUGUGUUAAUCGGGUACAAAGAAGGCAGAACUGGACUCCUAAAUCAGCUGUCAAAGAGAACGGCACUAACGUGGUAGGCAUCGCAGGUGGAAAGAGACUACAGGGAGCAUCUCUACUCUUCCUGCUGGCACCCACGUAAUCAUGCAGCAACAGGGCAAGCCCACCUCCCAAAGGAGAAGAUGCAACUCCCAGAUGUCGGAGGCUUUGAGGCAGUGUGACCUUCCUCCAACCCGGAAGGGUAGGAACCACCCUCUGUGCCCAGGUGGGUGGAGCCAGAUCUGCAUUGCCCUUCCCGCUGCAAGUGGAAAGGCAGGAGAGGAAGUAUAAAAGGCGGAGCCUCCAGCACAGUUGUAAUCGAGUCAGCGAGGGAAACAGACGCAUCCUGCUCACUCUAGGCUGCUGACUUCACUGCCAAACCAAGAGACGCCCUGCUCCCGAAGGAGCGUGUGUCUGCAGGGGAGCUGCCGAGACUGUUGCUGGCCACCUCCCCUGAGGAGACGGAGGACACCCAUUGAUUCAGGUCUCUUAAUGUAACUGUGGUGGAAUGGGAUAUGACUUUAUCAAAUUGUGAAGUCUGUUUCUUACCUGGGUUGAAGUAUUUUCUCUGGCUGCAUUCAUCUGGAUUUGCUUAGUGUCAGCCUGUUUCGUUGCACUCCAGAUAGCUACCCUGUCCUGGAAAGUCAUUUGACGCUUUAUUGAAGGACCACCACUGAGCGCCAUCACCUUUAUUGAAGGACCACCACUGAGAGCAGUCUGAAACUAUCAACUUUGACUCUCCACUUCUGGCAAACCCACAUGGAACGAUGGUCUUUCUACACAGGGGCCCACAAGGGGCAGGCAAGCAUGCUGGUGGGUAUGAAACUUCACAGUCUGAACACAUGGCCCAGAGAUAGAGGCCCUCUUUAAGAGCAAAGUUCUGCUCUGCAGCUGGAGGUUGGCCAUGGCCACAUGUAAGAAGAGUUUGCAGAAGAGAGAGGGCAGGAGGGUCUCUGCUGAAAAGGAGUGAACCAGAAUAGAUGAGGGUGCAUCACAGGAUCUUUGUUUUCAAAGAUCUGUCUCUUAAGUGCUUUAAGAUUAAAGCCAAUGUGGUUAAGAAAUCACCCCCUGUUCUAUUUGCGUUCCUUGCUUUCCUGCCCUGUCAUCUCCAGAGGAGUUAAAUGAGUAAACCCAAAGUGACUACAGCCCAGGUGGAACUCUGAGGGAGCAUAUGUAAGCAACUGGAGGUGCUUGGGAGUGGAGUGUCUCAGAAACUGAUUUCAAGGACUAUGGUGACUGAACAGUGGCAUCUCACCACUUAAGGAGAAAAGAGGUUUGAGCUUGGGACUAUACCCCAGGGUCCCAGAGCUAGAGAGCACAUGGGACCCAGCAAGUCCACUCACAACUGCCUGGUGACCAUACAGAUGGAUAUUGGGCCAGGCUGUAACAGUAAUCUUUUCCCAGUUUAUAAGAUGUAUUUCUGCCUCUCACUUCCUGAGUAAUUUUACCACUACUUAGAGUGCAUUAAUGAAGAGUCUUUAAUGAAGCAUAGCUUGUCAUUACACAAUGCCAAAUUUUUAAAGAGCAAUAUAGAUUAUUCUUAGUGUUUCCCCUUAUCCACACUUGUAAAAGCCCCUCGUUCUGACACUUUCCCGCCAACAUAUGAAGAUUCAAGCAAAGUACUCAGUCACUUUCAUGUACCUGUAACAAAACUCGUUUGUACCUUAAAUGUGUGUACCGUGUAUUGUUUGAAAAAUAUUGCCUUAACUCUUUUCCUGGAAAGGUGAAAAGCAUACAUAAUAA